rnacentral:lncRNA from 10 species
GGGAAGCAGAGGUGCAGCGUGCAGGGAAGAAGGAGUUAGGGCGGAACUCAGCUGUGAGAACACAGCAGGUGGAGGCCACGGGGCCAGCACACGAGAGGCGCUGCCCUUUCCCCAGGGAAGACAGGCGAGGGGACAAGACCAGCAAGGGUGAGUCCGCUCCCCACUGCAGGGUCCGUGGUGGACCCCAUUUCGUCUCAAGGCCUGCCUCUGGGAGCCAUUCCGGUCUCCAAGCCUCCGCUGGGAGCGAAUUCUAAGAAUUGGCCAAAGGAAAAGCCCUGCAAAGGCUCGUAGCGUCCCAAGUCCUCGAGAGGAAUGCCUCAUUUCAACAUCUCAGCAAGUCUGGGAGGCCAUCCUCACCAUUUCAUAGGUGGGGCCGGUAAGGCGCGGGAAGGUGAGGUCACUUGCUGAAGUCUCACAACGGCGCGGGAGAGCAGGGAGAGCAGGUUCCUUGAGCGAGGGAAUGUUCCAGGGGGGUGGGAGGGAAGGGACAGCUGCAAGGACUGCCCAGGUGGCCAGGGUACCCGCAGCGCGGAUAUGCCGAGAAGGCGCGCCCGCCAAGCCGCGGCGCAGCCCACGACGUCCAGCCUUACCACUCUGGAACCACCACCCCGGUCCCUCAGAGACAGAGGAAGGAUGCGAGGGGAAGUCUAGGCUCAUCUUGGCACUGCUUCCCCCAACUGCCAGGGAAGAGAGGCUUGAGCAGGCACCUGUCAUCUGUCUGCCAUAGCUCCAUCAAAGAGUAAUGUCUGGCCUGACCCCAAUGCCCAUCCAGGAUGACUGGAGGUGCUGCCCCAAGCACCAUCCUCUCCGAGUGCUCGGGGCUUCCCAAGAAUGUAACUAUGGUCGCAUAGCAAAAGUGAGCAAGGCUGCAGUGCAGCAGCCCAGAGAAAACACAACUGAACCUCAUCAAUCAAUUUCCAUCCCACCACCUUGACUUGACUGCAGGCUGCCUGGGAACCCCACACUUCUCCUCUCUUUCCAGAAGAAGCGGUCUCAGCGGAGUUGUUUCCUAACGUAGCACAUUUGUUGCAGACAGCUACAGAGAGCAAAAAUAUGCUAUGGGCCAUCCACUUAAAGGAAACAGGCACGGGUAUUGCUCAACCUGCCGAGUUCAGCCCUGGCUCAUGAACUCAGUUCCAUGCACUGCGUCUGCACUGGGGAUCCAUGUGCAGAGGGGCCAGAUCAAAACCCCGGACUCUGAAUACAUGGAAAAAUUAAAGAAUUAAGCGAGGGCCUGGAAAACAAGGCUAGCAGGAAGUCGGAGGAACUGACAAACAACUGGGAAGAUGAAGCUACCGAGGAUGGGCUGCAGGAGCCAAGAAGUUAGAAUCUGCAAGCCUGCGCCGAGUGCUCCAGUCAGCCAGCACUAGAUGAUUUACUGCUGAAUCCAGCCCCUCUAUGGACCAGCCUCCAAGUCACAUGGACCGUAAGGAAUGGUUUGAGACCAUCCCAAGAAAUAUUUGGGCAGCUCAAGAGAUGCAGAAACUGUUGCCCAUCCCCAUGUUUCAAGAACAAACAAGUAAAAGCUAAACCAGGGCCAAGCGCUCUGAGACUCGCUCCCCGCCACCCAGCCCUAGCCCAGUGUCCCCUGGACAGGGCUCAUGCCCUGCUGAGCCCCUGAUGCUGAAGUCAGGGGAGAAGGAGCCCGCCUCAUUGGCAGGGGUCAUUCCUCACUGUUCAGGCAGUAAACUAAGCCUUCUUGUCAUUUAUGGCUAUUUUGUCACCUUUACCAUUGUCAUCAGUGGCUGGCAAGAAUAUCCACGUGAGUUGAAGUUUACUGUCUGUCCUUUUAUUCUUCUGUCCUCUUUCUCUAUCUCAUAAUUAAAAAUUCCAUUUAACUGUUUUGUGUAUUUUGGCAGACACUGUUGGCUUCCUAUCCUAAAUUCUUCCCUACCUUCUUCCUGGAAAGCCUGGCUUUCCCUCUGGCUUUCUGGUUCAGGUGACUAUUCUUCCUCCACACAACUUGAGGAAGGGUAACCCUUUUCUCUCCCCAAAGGAAACCCUGAUGGACUAGGUCACCCUGUAAUCCCAUUCCCCUUGCCAGUGACUGGGCUGGGAAUGGGCAUUUGAUGCAAUUUUGGCCAACGGGCCAUGAAAGAGUGUGUACUCAUGUGUCUUCAAGAGACACAAAAGAACCAGGUCAGAGGACUUCUACUGCCUGCAAGUCUUGAAGUCUUAUUCCAAAGCAACAGUAAUUAAGACAGCAUGGGAAAGGCAAGAGGAAAGACAAAUAAGUCAAUAGAACAGGACAGAGUCCAGAAAUAGAUCUAUACAUAGAUAACCAAUUGACUUUUUUUUUAAAUUUUUGUGGGUACAUAGUAGGUGUAUAUAUUUAUGGGGUACAUGAGAUGUUUUGAUACAAGCAUGCAAUACGUAAUAAUCACAUCAUGGAAAAUGGAGUAUCCAUCCCCUCAAGCUUCAAGCAUUUAUCUUUUGUGUUACAAACAAUCCAAUUAUACUUUUAGUUAUUUUUGAAUAUACAGCUAUUAUUGACUACAGCCACCCUGUUGUGCUAUCAAAUACUACAGCCAAUUGAUUUUUUUUUUUUUUUUUUGAGAUGGAGUCUCACUCUGUUGCCCAGGCUGGAGUGCAGUGGCAUGAUCGCAGCUCAUUGCAACCUCUGCUUCCAGGGUUCAAGUGAUUCUCCUGCCUCAGCCUCCUGAGUAGCUGGGAUUACAGGUUCCUGCCACAUGCCCAGCUAAUUUUGUAUUUUUAGUGGAGACGGGGUUUCACCACGUUGGCCAGGCUGGUCUUGAACUCCUAACCUCAGGUGAUCCACCCACCUCAGCCUCCCAAAGUACUGCAAUUACAAGCGUGAGCCACCGUGCCUGGCCCAGCCAAUUGAUUUUUGAGGAAAGUGCCAAGGAGGAAAGGAAAGUCUUUUUCAACGAAUGGUGUUGAAUAUCUGUAUGGUAAAACAAUGAACCUGGGUCCCUGCCUCACACCAGACACAAAGACUAAUUGCAGAUGAUUUACAGGUCUCCAUGGAAAAGUGAAACUAGAAGGCAUCUAGGAAAAAAAAAAAAAAGACACAAGGAAGAAAGAAGUGGAGCCCCUCUUCUUCCACUUAGUGAUGUGAUGUCUGCAUAGGAGGGGAGGAACUGUACAGCCAUCCUGGAACCAUGAGGACACAGCCCAUGGACAGCAUGGAAAGAGAAACGAGCUUCAGAGUUGCCCUCCGUGUGGCUUUCUUGCUAUGUGAAAUGAUGCAUUUUCCUUCAUUGUUAAGCUAACUGCAUUGCAUUCUCCAUUACUUGCAGCCAAAAGCAUUCCCACUGAGACAUGCCUGUCCUUUUGUUUUUCCCUCCUAUGGUGUAGGGUUUUGCAUAACUAUUUACGUUCAGGCAAUAAACACAAAACCAUGAACAUUGACCUUCAUGUGGAAUUUAAGGAUUGCUAAACUUUUUUCUGUACCUAGAUUUCUCCUGUGUUGAUUUUGGAAUCCAACUCCUGGGGCAGGCGCUGAGGCACCCUGAGGAAAGGGCUGUGAUUGUCCAGUGCCAAAAGUGACCCACAAAGCAAAGUGUCUCCAAAGGACAGAGACCACAAUUGACUCAUUCUCAUUCAUACCCUUGAACCCAAGUACAGCAUCUGGAACACAGCAGGAGCUCAAUAAAUAAGUGUUGUAUGAAUGGAUGGAUAGAACAAGAAAAGUCCAGGCCCUUUCAUUCAUUGUAUUAUAAGCUUGCAAGCUUAAUUAGUACAAUUAAAAUACAUAAGCAAUAUCUUAGUUUCUUUAAUAAUUCCCCUUAAUUUACACGCUCUCUUUAUUUGAGUAAGUUCCCCAGGUGUUUGAAGAAUGUUAUUAGAAUUGGACAGUCCCUGUGUUGGAGACAGGGCCAUUGAAGCUGGUAUUUCUUCUCCCUUCCCUUCCUUCCUCCCUUCCUUUCUUUUUUUUUUUCUCCAAGAUGGGGUCUUGUUCUGUCCCCAGGGUGGAGUGCUGUUGCAUGAUCAUGGCUCACUGCAGCCUCAACCUCCUAGGCUUAAGCGAUCCUCCUGCCUCAGCCUCCUAAGUAGCUGGGACACACCAC